rnacentral:rRNA from 1 species
AUUGAACGCUGGCGGAAUGCUUUACACAUGCAAGUCGAACGGCAGCACGGACUUCGGUCUGGUGGCGAGUGGCGAACGGGUGAGUAAUGUAUCGGAACGUGCCCAGUCGUGGGGGAUAACGUAGUGAAAAUUACGCUAAUACCGCAUACGAUCUAUGGAUGAAAGCGGGGGAUCGCAAGACCUCGCGCGAUUGGAGCGGCCGAUAUCAGAUUAGGUAGUUGGUGGGGUAAAGGCCGACCAAGACAACGAUCUGUAGCUGGUCGGAGAGGACGCACAACCACACGGGAACUGACACACGGUCCAGACUCCUACGGGAGGCAGCAGUGGGGAAUUUUGGACAAUGGGCGAAAGCCUGAUCCAGCCAUUCCGCGUGCAGGAUGAAGGCCCUCGGGUUGUAAGCUGCUUUUGUACAGAACGAAAAGGUUUCUACUAAUACUAGGAGCUCAUGACGGUACUGUAAGAAUAAGCACCGGCUAACUACGUGCCAGCCGCCGCGGUAA